CAGUAGCCGCGGUAAUACGUAGGGUGCGAGCGUUAAUCGGAAUUACUGGGCGUAAAGCGUGCGCAGGCGGUUCGUUAAGACAGAUGUGAAAUCCCCGGGCUCAACCUGGGACCUGCAUUUGUGACUGUAUAGCUAGAGUACGGUAGAGGGGGAUGGAAUUCCGCGUGUAGCAGUGAAAUGCGUAGAUAUGCGGAGGAACACCGAUGGCGAAGGCAAUCCCCUGGACCUGUACUGACGCUCAUGCACGAAAGCGUGGGGAGCAAACAGGAUUAGAUACCCGGGUAGUCCCUGUCUCUUAUAC
rnacentral:rRNA from 1 species